rnacentral:rRNA from 1 species
ACGACUCUCGGCAACGGAUAUCUCGGCUCUCGCAUCGAUGAAGAACGUAGCGAAAUGCGAUACUUGGUGUGAAUUGCAGAAUCCCGUGAACCAUCGAGUCUUUGAACGCAAGUUGCGCCCGAAGCCUUCGGGCCGAGGGCACGCCUGCCUGGGCGUCACGCAUCGCGUCGCCCCCCCCA